rnacentral:rRNA from 1 species
AGCGAACGCUGGCGGCAGGCCUAAUACAUGCAAGUCGAGCGCACCUUCGGGUGAGCGGCGGACGGGUGAGUAACGCGUGGGAACGUGCCCUUUGGUACGGGAUAACUGAGGGAAACUUCAGCUAAUACCGUAUGUGCCCUACGGGGGAAAGAUUUAUCGCCAUUGGAGCGGCCCGCGUUGGAUUAGGUAGUUGGUGAGGUAAAGGCUUACCAAGCCUACGAUCCAUAGCUGGUCUGAGAGGAUGAUCAGCCACACUGGGACUGAGACACGGCCCAGACUCCUACGGGAGGCAGCAGUAGGGAAUCUUGCGCAAUGGGCGAAAGCCUGACGCAGCCAUGCCGCGUGUAUGAUGAAGGUCUUAGGAUUGUAAAAUACUUUCACCGGGGAAGAUAAUGACGGUACCCGGAGAAGAAGCCCCGGCUAACUUCGUGCCAGCCGCCGCGGUAAUAC